AAUAAAAGGAAUCAAAUUAACCUCUCUCUCCCUUAUUUCCUCACGCAUACAUACAUAUACAUUCUCUCUCUCUCUCUGCGUGACUUGUCCCUCUCUCUCAGCUCUGUCGUCUCUCUUUCUCUCUCCCUGUCUCCGGUGGCCGUCGCCGGCCUUCGUCGCCUCCGGCGCGGCGAGGUCGGCCUCUCCUCUCCCCCUUUCCUUUCUUUCCAUUUCUCUUUUCCCUAUGUCUCAAUCCCCAAAUUAUAAAAUCAAAAUCCUAGGAUUUCUACCUCUCUUCAUCCCCUCUGGAAUUCGUCUCUCCGGCGAAGCCUGCCUCUCCGCCUUCGUCUCUGUCACGCCGCCGCCUCUUCUGAUUCAGGAAUCGACCGGCGUCGUCGUUGCUUGAGAUGUCUCCGGCGCAACAGUCCUUUAUCAGCUCAAAAUCCUAUUUUUAUGAUUGUUUUCCUUAUUGCUUACUGGAAAGCUAAAGUUUUGAUAGAAGAAAGUAUACUGUUGUUAGUUAUGCUAUACUUAACUUGGUUGUUGUAGUUAGGUCCAUCUUCCCUAUUGCUACUAGCAUUCUGUACAUGUAUUGAACAAAAGAAAGACUACCUUCUUUGCUGUGAA